rnacentral:rRNA from 1 species
GACGUAAGCUCUCAUAUAUGCAAGUCGAGCGGACCGACGGGAGCUUGCUCCCUUAGGUCAGCAGCGGACGGGUGAGUAACACGUGGGUAACCUGCCUGUAAGACUGGGAUAACUCCGGGAAACCGGGGCUAAUACCGGAUGCUUGAUUGAACCGCAUGGUUCAAUCAUAAAAGGUGGCUUUUAGCUACCACUUGCAGAUGGACCCGCGGCGCAUUAGCUAGUUGGUGAGGUAACGGCUCACCAAGGCGACGAUGCGUAGCCGACCUGAGAGGGUGAUCGGCCACACUGGGACUGAAACACGGCCCAGACUCCUACGGGAGGCAGCAGUAGGGAAUCUUCCGCAAUGGACGAAAGUCUGACGGAGCAACGCCGCGUGAGUGAUGAAGGUUUUCGGAUCGUAAAACUCUGUUGUUAGGGAAGAACAAGUACCGUUCGAAUAGGGCGGCACCUUGACGGUACCUAACCAGAAAGCCACGGCUAACUACGUGCCAGCAGCCGCGGUAAUACGUAGGUGGCAAGCGUUGUCCGGAAUUAUUGGGCGUAAAGCGCGCGCAGGCGGUUUCUUAAGUCUGAUGUGAAAGCCCCCGGCUCAACCGGGGAGGGCAUUGGAAACUGGGGAACUUGAGUGCAGAAGAGGAGAGUGGAAUUCCACGUGUAGCGGUGAAAUGCGUAGAGAUGUGGAGGAACACCAGUGGCGAAGGCGACUCUCUGGUCUGUAACUGACGCUGAGGCGCGAAAGCGUGGGGAGCGAACAGGAUUAGAUACCCUGGUAGUCCACGCCGUAACGAUGAGUGCUAAGUGUUAGAGGGUUUCCGCCCUUUAGUGCUGCACAAACGCUUAAGCACUCCCCUGGGGAGACGGCGCAGACUGAACUCAAAGAAUUGACGGGGCCCGCAGCGGGGAGUGUUUAAUUCAAGCACGCGAAGACCUUACCGGUUGAUCUCUGACAC